GCCGUUAAGCGGCGUAACUUUUAGCAGGGGCGGAAAUUUAAGUUGUCCAAGUCACACAGAAUCCCGCGAGAUGUCCGACUUCCGCUAAACUGACACGGCACAUCCGAUAGCUAGUAAUAGUAAGACGAUUGUUUAUAGCUCUCUUUCAACUUUAGCGUCAUGACAAAUAACGUUACUGCCGUAAAUGUUUUAAAUUGAGGGCACGGAGGAAGCUUCAUAAGACGCUCGGAUGGUCUUAUAUUGUCUCAUUCAUCGUCAUUGUUAACGUGGGUAGACAAUAUGGCCAUAUACGGCAUAUAUGGACAUAUUUACCAUCCUAAAAUUAUUAAAAGUACCGAGGCAUACCAAUAUUUAAAUCGUGAACUGUUACACAGUGAGGGUGAUUUAGUCUUUUUUUAAGUAAAUGUGCACCUCAGACAGUUUAAUAUGUAUUAAACCAAGAUGAAAUUCAUUUGCAAACUUGCAAACUUAAUUCUUUUUAAGUUUUAAGAGGAAUCUACAGAGCUCACGUGGUUUUAUAAGAAAUGGCUAACAGAUAACAUCUGGUGAUAUUGUGAAGGUUUAUAAAAAUAACUAUUCACAACAGGUAACAUUGUAAAGGUGUAUAAAAUAACCAUUCACAACAGGUAACAUUGUAAAGGUGUAUAAAAUAACCAUUCACAACAGGUAACAUUGUAAAGGUGUAUAAAAAUAACUAUUCACAACAGGUAACAUCUGGUGACAUUGUAAUGGUUUAUAAAAAUAACUUUUCACAACAGGUAACAUCUGGUGACAUUGUAAAGGUUUAUAAAAAUAUCCUUUUAGCAAGAUCACCCUGCAAUAAAUUAUAACACAGCAUUAUGAGAGGCAUCAGGAGCUGAUCC